rnacentral:rRNA from 1 species
UGACCGUAAGGAGCGGCCUAGGGCGAAACUGGUAAUUGGGGCUAAGUCGUAACAAGGUAGCCGUACCGGAAGGUGCGGCUGGAACACCUCCUUU